rnacentral:rRNA from 1 species
AGAGUUUGAUCCUGGCUCAGAACGAACGCUGGCGGUGUGGAUUAGGCAUGCAAGUCGAACGCGAAAGAGGGGGCAACUCCUCGAGUAGAGUGGCGAACGGGUGAGUAACACGUGAGAAACCUGCCUUCAGCAGGGGGAUAACACUCCCAACGGGGUGCUAAUACCGCAUGAGACCACGGGUCCGCAUGAACCUGAGGUCAAAGGUGGCCUCUGCUUGCAAGCUACCGGCUGAAGAUGGUCUCGCGUCCCAUUAGCUAGUUGGUGGGGUAAUGGCCCACCAAGGCGACGAUGGGUAGCUGGUCUGAGAGGAUGGUCAGCCACACUGGGACUGAGAUACGGCCCAGACUCCUACGGGAGGCAGCAGUCGAGAGGCUUUGGCAAUGGGGGAAACCCUGACCAAGCGACGCCGCGUGAGGGAUGAAGGCCCUUGGGUUGUAAACCUCUUUUGUCGGGGAAGAAACGCGAUCAGGUGAACAAUCUGGUCGUCUGACGGUACCCGACGAAUAAGCUCCGGCUAACUCCGUGCCAGCAGCCGCGGU